CUUAAGCGUGUAAGCCGGGUGUAAGAGAGUUAAAUAUCCGCAAAACACUUUGCGGCCAACUCAACGAUUUUCCUUUCUUUUAAGCUGUUGGCUUGUGUGAGGUGGACGUACAAGUGAUGAUACUUGCUAUGCACCACUCUGAACAACUUUUGGUGUUGAUAUAGUCAUUCUGAAUUUAUAUUGAAAAAUGGGCUGCUUUUACUCAUUUAAACCUGUACAAAUAGACCGAUGAUGUGACUGUUGUUUAAUAUAUUAUUUGUU